rnacentral:rRNA from 1 species
CCCUUAGAUGUCCUGGGCCGCACGCGCGCUACACUGAUCAGUGCAACAAGCAUCCGUCCUUGGCCGACAGGCCCGGGCAAUCUUUGAACGCUGAUCGUGAUGGGGAUAGACUUUUGCAAUUUUUGGUCUUCAACGAGGAAUUCCUAGUAAACGCAAGUCAUCAACUUGCAUUGAUUACGUCCCUGCCCUUUGUACACACCGCCCGUCGCACCUACCGAUUGAAUGGUCCGGUGAAGCCUCCGGAUUGGCGUGCACCCUCGGGUGCUGCCGAGAAGUUGGCUAAACCUUACCAUUUAGAGGAAGGUGAAGUCGUAACA